rnacentral:rRNA from 1 species
AACCAGCACCUCAAGUGGUCAGGAGGAUUAUUGGGCCUAAAGCAUCCGUAGCCGGCUCUGUAAGUUUUCGGUUAAAUCCAUGUGCUCAACGCAUGGGCUGCCGAAAAUACUGCAUAGCUAGGGAGUGGGAGAGGUAGACGGUACUCGGUAGGAAGGGGUAAAAUCCUUUGAUCUAUCGAUGACCACCUGUGGCGAAGGCGGUCUACCAGAACACGUUCGACGGUGAGGGAUGAAAGCUGGGGAGCAAACCGG